CGGGGGGAGCAAGCGUUGUUCGGAUUUACUGGGCGUAAAGGGCGUGUAGGCGGCCACCGCAAGUCGACUGUGAAAUCUCCGGGCUUAACUCGGAAAGGUCAGCCGAUACUGCGGGGCUAGAGUGCAGAAGGGGCAACUGGAAUUCUCGGUGUAGCGGUGAAAUGCGUAGAUAUCGAGAGGAGCACCUGCGGCGAAGGCGGGUUGCUGGGCUGACACUGACGCUGAAACGCGAAAGCUAGGGGAGCGAACGGGAUUAGAUACCCCGGUAGUCCUAGCCUUAAACGAUGAAUGCUUGGUGUCUGGGGUUUUAUAGUCCCCGGGUGCCGUCGCUAACGCUUUAAGCAUUCCGCCUGGGGAGUACGGUCGCAAGACUG
rnacentral:rRNA from 1 species